UACGUAGGUGGCAAGCGAUACUCGGAAUCACUAGGCGUAAAGCGCAGGUAGGCGGUUUGGUAAGUCUUUUGUGAAAGCUCCUGGCUCAACUGGGAGAGGUCAAGGGAAACUACCGGACUAGAGUGUGGCAGAGGAGACUGGAAUUCCCGGUGUAGCGGUGAAAUGCGUAGAUAUCUGGAGGAACACCGGUGGCGAAGGCGGCAUCCUGGACCAUUACUGACGCUGAGGAGCGAAAGCCAGGGGAGCAAACGGG
rnacentral:rRNA from 1 species